GAUGAACGCUGGCGGCGUGCCUAAUACAUGCCAGUCGAGCGAACAGACGAGGAGCUUGCUCCUCUGACGUUAGCGGCGGACGGGUGAGUAACACGUGGAUAACCUACCUAUAAGACUGGGAUAACUUCGGGAAACCGGAGCUAAUACCGGAUAAUAUAUUGAACCGCAUGGUUCAAUAGUGAAAGACGGUUUUGCUUUCACUUAUAGAUUGAUCCGCGCGGCAUUAGCUAGUUGGUAAGGUAACGGCUUACCAAGGCGACGAUGCGUAGCCGACCUGAGAGGGUGAUCGGCCACACUGGAACUGAGACACGGUCCAGACUCCUACGGGAGGCAGCAGUAGGGAAUCUUCCGCAAUGGGCGAAAGCCUGACGGAGCAACGCCGCGUGAGUGAUGAAGGUCUUCGGAUCGUAAAACUCUGUUAUUAGGGAAGAACAAAUGUGUAAGUAACUAUGCACGUCUUGACGGUACCUAAUCAGAAAGCCACGGCUAACUACGUG
rnacentral:rRNA from 1 species